rnacentral:lncRNA from 1 species
GCGAAGUAGUUCAGAGCUUUUUAGAAAGCUAAAACUUAUAAUUUUCUUAAUUUUCAAAGUGUAUAUCACUGAUGCGUUUUGUUUUAAUCUGUGUCAAAAAAGCGUUUACCAGAACGUAAUAGGUGUUUGCACAUAACGUAAUUGGUGUUUGGACAUAACGUAAUAGGUGUUUGCACAUAACGUAAUAGAUGUUUGGACAUAAUGUAAUAGGCAUUUGCACAUAACUUACAUGGUGUUUGCACAUAAUGUAAGCGGUAUUUGCACAUAACGUAAUAGUGUUUGCACAUAAUGAUGUAGUUGUUAUACAUAACUUAAUAGGUAUUUGCACAUAACGCAAUAGGUCUUUGCACAUAAGGUAAACUAUGUUUGCACAUAGGGUAAACGAUGUUUGCACAUAAGGGGAACGAUGUUUGCACAAAAGGUAAACGAGAAUUGCACAAAACGUAUAAGUUG